UACGGAGGGUGCAAGCGUUAUUCGGAAUCAUUGGGCGUAAAGCGCGCGUAGGCGGUGGGGCAAGUCUGGUGUGAAAGCCCGGGGCUUAACCUCGGAAGGGCAUUGGAAACUGCCUCACUUGAGUGCCGGAGAGGAAGGGGGAAUUCCCGGUGUAGCGGUGAAAUGCGUGGAUAUCGGGAGGAAUACCAGUGGCGAAGGCGUCCUUCUGGACGGCAACUGACGCUGAUGCGCGAAAGCGUGGGGAGCAAACAGG
rnacentral:rRNA from 1 species